AGUUGAGACUUUUUAGUAACAAGCCGUCGUCUAUUGAUAAAAAGCAGGUUAAAAAGACUGCAAGGUCGUAAUUAUCUUUAUCAAUGGUCGCUUGCUUGUUUAUCAGUGUACAUAUAUGCAUAUCAUUUUAUUCUAAUGCUUUUCAUACUGUUCUUAUAAAAAACUAUCAUAACUGUUUGAAGCAAUUAUCAACUCGAUGUCAUUUUUAUCGUUAUAUUUUUUGCAACAAUUACAAACAAAGUUUCCUAUGGAAUAUACAUAUAUACCACCGACGUCAUUAAUACACUUUCAAUAGUUGAAUAUAUAAGGAGGAAAUAUUUCCUAUGUAUUUCAUAAUUUCACUAUUCGUCUAAAGAACAGUUUCUUACCGAUUCAGCUGAACCAUGAUGAAAAGUGUCUUGUUGAUUUUAAUGAUUGGAUCAUUAAUUGUUGCAACUAUGGGCUGUCAAAGUGGAGAGGGUACAUGGUGCCAUCCGAUCGAAAGGUAUCCUUGCUGUGACCCAUGGUCGUGCAGUAAUGGCCCGUUCAAGCAAGGAAAAUGCGAAAUUCUGAAAUAUAGGAACGGAAAAUGAUCAAAGAAUUCAAAUAAAUAAACCUUUUGACAGUUACCCUAUCAUUGGCAAAAAAUUAUUAUUUUCAAAACAUCGCCAUUAUUCGAAUGCAAACAAUUCCUUGGUUAUUUAUUUAUCAUGUUAAAAAAUUCAAAUAAUUAUUAUUCACAGUUUGGUUAUUAUAAAUACUUAUUAUUAAAAUUAUCAAUGUAUCUAUUGGUCAAUAAAAAUUAUUUUAAUCGAAAAA